AUAGGUUAAAUGAGAUAGAAACAAGUUAAAAUGAGUCUUAAACAUGCUAAAUGGAUUGGGUCACAACUUGAUCUAAUUAUUAAAUAGGUUAAAAUGAAUUAAGCAGAUCAAAAGAUCUAAACCCAAACCCAGUCCAUUUAAUAAUUGAGUUUAGAUAGGUGGACUUGUUUAUGAACCAAAUCUGUUUAUGAACCAAAUCUAUUUCUACCAGAUCCGCAAAUGCUUAGAGUAAGUCAAUUGCGGGUUGGGUUGCUCCACUCAAAAUUAACAUCGAAUUGGCGGUUCUCUAAAAAAAUUAGUUCCCACAAAAUAAAAUAUACAUCAUCUUCUCUGUAGAUUUCAUGAUCAAACACCCCAAAGCACUGGAGAAUCACAACUCUUGUCCUAAUGUCUCACAUAAAUGAGCUUUAAUUUGACACUGAAUAAUGAGGACUAGAUUGCAAACCCAUACAAUAGGUCAGAUGGUGUGAUUAUAAUUCAAUGCCAAUAAUACCUCCAAAUACUAGCGGCACUAAGGUUUUAGCAUACUAGAUGAGAAAAGAAGGGUGAUUAAAUUGAGAAAUGAUCCCUGAAACUAACAAUCUGGAAUUAAAACCCAAUACAGACCUUCAACAUUUGAACACGACGAUUCAUGUUUAAAAUAAAAAAAAUCAACGAUGAUGUAAUUAUUUAUUGCGCUUAACAGCACGCCUUCCUUGGCCUUUCUUCGGUGGACCCUUUCCACGACGCUUCAACAUUUCAAGUUUAGCCAACCGCCUGUAAUGAAAAAAAUACCCAUUCAUAUCUAAGCUAAUGAUGUUGACUAAAUUUAUUACGAAUGCAAUUUCAACCAUGUUAAGCAUUUUCAGGACUAUAAUGCUUCUAGGAAGAUGCAUCUGAUGACAAGUCUCAAAUAUUCUAAUUAUGUACAGCACCAUCUCCAGAUUUUCUGAGAAACAAACAUUUUAAAUUAAAAAAGAAAAAAAAGAAAUAUUGACAAAGUCUGCCACAUAACAAAUCACAGUUUUGUUAGUUAUUAUACAAAUCAAAGCGGCUCAAAGUUUCAUUCAUAUACAAAUCAUUGAAAUAUUAUACAAAUCAAACCAAAGGUUUUGGUUAUGUUUCUACUACAUUUUGUUUGUUAUCUUAUCGACAUGCUUAUUGGCCCUACUUGCCAAAUAAGCAAGUAAACUACAAACCCAACAUAACAAAGUUUCUUUUCUUUUCUUUUCAUUUCUUUUUUCAAACUAUGAUGGGGACAAUUUGAUCUUUUCUUUAAGAAUGAUGCAAAAACUACCUAAGAACACUUGGGUCAGCUUUCUCUAGAUCUAAUCCACAGAUUCCAUAUGGAGGAGGGGUACCACCACAGGACUAUACCCAGCUUGCAGGCUGCAUAACAAAGUUACUAACUAAAUAGUUGCAUAACGCUCAACAAUCACAUAUAGAGAUGGUAACAUUUUCCUCUUAAAUCAUGCAGGUGCGGUCAGGAUAUCCUUAUUGACAGUCUGAUAUGAACUUCAGCAAUGGCUAAAAUAACAAGUGCCUAAGGUAAGAAUAACUACAUAUCAUGUUCCUUAAUUUAUUCAGGAACUUGCGGGUUCAACCUGAUGGAAUUUCCAUUGCAAAUGCUAUGUAGUAUGGCUUGAUAUUUUGGCGAACAAAAAGUGAAUAUUUCUGAAAUUUUCAGUCUAUGCUCAAAAUGCCUCAAAGAUAUCAUUAAACUAUAAAAGUACUAGUUGAUUUUUUUUUUUUUUUUGGCUGAAAACGGGUUCUCAUACAGUACGUGUACGAAUACACCCAAUAAAGUCAAAAAACACUAGCUCACGGAGAGCCAGUGGCAACUCUCCCUCCCCCAACCAAAAGGUGUACCCUGAAUGAAAGUACUAGUUGAUUUCAACAUCUGAUUAUUUCAAGAAAACUAAAAUUUUUUAAGCCUGUAUGAUUUUGAACAAUGAAAUGAAACUACUCAAAUAUAUGGAUUGUGAACAAGUUGAAAUGCCCUAGUUUCAGCUCAUUCAAGGACAAGAGAUAUUGAAUAAAUUUCUGUCCGCAAGCAACUAUGACUGUCUGACCUUCUCAAGUAAAUGUCAGCCCUUAAAACUAUAUCAAGCAGUUAUGGCGUUUGAUCUUAUCAAGUAAAUUUCAGCCCUUAAAACAGUAUCAAGCAGUUAUGGCUGUUUGAUCUUAUUAAGUACAUCUCAGCCCUUUAGAUUAUAUCACCUACCACACAUAUAAUCUCCCAAUUACAUAUGUUUCCACUCAUAAUCAAUUUUAUUAUGUUAAUAAUCCUCUCAUCUGAAUUACAUCCUCAGCCACUAAGAGUCCAAAAACUCCUCUUCUGCUCCCACUUAAGAGCUAUGCGCACCCCACGUUAAGACGCAAUCGCAACUAUAUAGAGUACCAGAUAUUAUGGAUGUUGUAGUUUGAAUCCUUGUAAAUUUAUUUCCAUACUUAUCCUACAUUUAAGAUGCAAUCACAACUCAUGUCCUUUGUUUUCUCCUGAUCAAAUUCUUCACACAUAAUCAUGUGAGGAAUCAACCAAAAGAAGUCGGAUACUCCAGGCACCCAUCUAUCCCAAGUCAAUCACUAUCAUCCGCUUACACAUGGAUGGACAACAGCAAUACAAUGUGAGCAUAGAGAACAAGUGUUUGUGACUGCCUAGAAUUUUCAAAUUAUUUACCAACGUUUACUUUGGAAAAUGAAUGCAAAAUGGCAUCCAAUAUAUCAAUAUAUAACAUUACUGAUUAUUUUGCAUAAAACAGAUCUACAUUUGCCUGUUUUGGAUGGGACGACUAUUUUUAAAUUUUUUAAUAAUCAUCUUCCUAAUCCUAACUUGCUGCUCCAAGUUAGACAAUUUAAAAGAUCUUUACAAGAAGUUAUUGAUGGAGGCACAUAUCAAUUUAAAGAUCUCCUCAAUUAUUAUUUUUUUAAACUAAUACAAAAUAUCAAUUUAUUUUUUAAAUAUUAAAUAAUGAUCAGUUAUAUUUGUUAUUAUAUUUUUCUUUCAGUAUGUGCAUUGGCACAUACACAUUAUUUAGUAUUUUUAAAAAUAUGAAAAUUCUGCUCCAUGAUCUUAGUUCCAUAAACACCAAAUCUUCUUACUUUAGAAACUAAAAUAAAAAGAAAAUGCUAAAAUGUUUGCUAAUUUUACAUGAUUGGGCUUACUAGAAAUAAAAUUCUAAAAACCAUAAAGUCCAGUAAAUUAUAGAAGAUGAAAAUAACAGGAUUAAGUUGGAUCUUAUGAUCCAAAGGAUUAGAUGAUGCAUAAUUUACAUAUAAAUCUUAUGAUCCUACUCGAGCCUAUCCAGAUUGUCUAGUGUGGUUUUGAUCUGGAUAGUAAGCAUAAAAUAGAUGAGGGUUGGUCCAGACAAGAGGAUAUAGAGAAGGUUGCUCGUGGAUCUUAAGAAAGAUAACAAAGGUUGCUUGUGCUAUGAGCCUAAAUGAUAUGGAAAGCCUGAAAUAAGCAAAUCAUUGUAGGUCACACUUAACACCCAAAUAUGGCUGCAGGAAUAUUGGUCUUAGCAAAUGAAUACUUGGAUCAGAUGAAAACUUCACUUCCAGUUCUUCAUGAAAACUUGGUUAACCGGAACAUUACGUUAUCAUCAAAGAUCUCUUCUCACCUUCUAUUAGUUAAAUAAGUGACCACAUUGCAUGGAUACAUGAAGGUUAAUUUUUGACCAACAAUGAAGAAAAGUCAUCACGUGUUGGAGCCAGAUUCAUCAUUAGGAGCACCAAUUAGGACUUCCAACUGUUCCCAUGACAGAGGUAAUGAGUGCAGGCAUUGAAGGUCUUGAACAAUUUAUAUGGGAAGAAAUUGAAGAUAUGGCUGGCAAGUACAAGCCUGAAUAUGAUGCAGUGAGUCAACUGCAAAUUGGCCGUGAAAACUAGGGAAUUGAGGGAAGUGAAUUGCAAUAAAAGAAAGUCAAGAGUUUGAAGCAUAAAAUUGAAGAUCAGAACAUAGUUCUUUCAUUUUAGUUUCUAAAAUCUGAAACUUUCAUUGACCAUCUCCCAAAUUUUUACAGAAUUGGGAACAUUUGCUCUUCAUGAGUUAAUCUAAACUGCUGAUUCAGAACAAGAGUAUAGAUCAAGAGUGAAGAACUGAACAUAUCUUCAAGAAACAUAGCAGUCUCAUUUUUAGUUUCUAAAAUCUGAAACUUCCAUGGACUUCUUUCCAAUUUUUACAGAGUUGUGAACGUUUGCUCUUCAUGAGUUAAUCUAAACUGCUGAUUUACCAUCUAGAAAGAAGGCAUAAAGUUGAGACUUGAGACUUUAGAAGCUCCAAUAAUUACCAUAAUUCAUGGAUAAUGUAAUCAUAUUGUUUCAACUUUCAUGCAUUUUCAAUAGUGGCUCUAGAUCGAUUUUCCAAAGCGACCAAUCUUAAAGGUCAUCAUAGCAAAGCAGGUUGUUUUUCUCAACUUCGGAAUCACAGACAGUCUGGAGAUACCCAUUACCCAGCUAUCCUUAACCUACUAAGGCUUUCAACAUCCAAGAAUCAACAGAAGCGACUCUAAGGAUCAACUGAAGCGACUGUGAGCAAUUUAUUGGCAAAAUUUUUCUCAAGAUUACAGGUUGGAAGGCUAAAUAUGUUUCGUCUCCGGGCAUACUGGAACUACUUCAGUCAACUUUUGUCUCACAAUCCCUCUUGAGAUGAGCAGGUAAUAACGUCAUAUUUGAUAAUGUGCACCAAAGUUUCUCUUCUCAAAUCAUGUUGGAGGACAUCUAAAUGCCAUGGUCCCUUCGGUCAAAUGGAUGAGAGAAAAGUGCUUGACAAGGUAACGUUUAGUCUGUUAACCAUGGAGUAAUUUUUCUCCCAUUCAGAUGAACAAUUUUACAUUUUGAAACUUAUCCACUCAAGGGAGGUGUAUUUCUACUUAUGUUCUUGGUGGACAACCAAGAUAACAUGAAGAACAAGAAAAAUCCCAUUAAAAAAUUUACGAAGAAAAUAUAAAAGCGAUUACCUACAGGAUAUCACAGAGCACAGAAACUCCAUGAGAAAUGAUGCCGCUAGUUGGAAUACAACAUCAUGCAAACAUAGUCGGAAUCUCCUAAAUAAUCAUCCACCCUUUUCUCUUUUCUAAUACUCUUUUAACAGGGCUUAUUCUUCAAACAAGGGGGUUCAUCUCAGAGCGUCCCCGCACUAACGUACAAC
rnacentral:lncRNA from 1 species